CGUCUUCACUCGCGGUGGGCCCCGCUCAGUCGUGGGGCUGGAGACCGGGCCAAGCUCUCCGGCACCACCCAGAGGCCCAGCCCGCGCAUCGGGCUCGGGGAAGCUUCGCCGGGUCUGUCCGGGACCGCGUCCCCUCUCCGCCAAGGCCCAGACGGAGCCCAGCACCUGCUACUCGAGCCGCUGGCCCCGGCCCGUCGCGACCGCGGGAGGCAGGCGGCCCGUAUGCAAAUGUCCCGCGGGGGCCGGGGGACGCCUCCAGCGCCCGGGAUAAAAGGCGGGGUGAGGCGCGCGGGGCCGCAGAAGUCGCUGCCUCCCGGGAGCCUGCCGUGCGCUCAGGCCCCCGCGCUCCUGCCCGCAGCCCCGACAGCGCGGUCCUCCCCGCGGCCCCCGACAGUGACUGGGAAACAGAAGACUGGAAACAUGUCCGAGUUUUGGUUGAUUUCGGCCCCUGGUGAUAAGGAGAAUUUACAAGCACUGGAGAGGAUGAAUACAGUAACCUCCAAGUCCAACCUGUCCUACAACACCAAAUUUGCUAUUCCUGACUUCAAGGUGGGAACCUUGGAUUCUCUUGUUGGUCUCUCUGAUGAGUUGGGGAAACUCGAUACCUUUGCUGAAAGCCUCAUAAAGAGAAUGGCUCAGAGUGUAGUGGAGGUCAUGGAGGACUCCAAGGGGAAAGUCCAGGAGAACCUGCUGGCCAACGGAGUUGACCUGACAUCCUUUGUGACCCAUUUUGAAUGGGACAUGGCCAAAUACCCUGCGAAGCAGCCGCUGGUGAACGUGGUGGACACACUAGCCAAGCAACUGGCACAGAUCGAGUCGGACCUGAAGUCCCGCACGGCAGCCUACAGCGCCCUGAAGACGACCCUGGAAAACCUGGAGAAGAGGUCCACGGGGAACCUCUUUACUCGGACACUGAGUGACAUUGUGAGCAAAGAAGACUUUGUGCUGGAUUCAGAGUAUCUCGUCACACUUCUGGUCAUCGUCCCCAAGCCAAGCUAUGCACAGUGGAGGAAGACCUAUGAAUCCCUCUCGGACAUGGUGGUCCCCAGGUCGACCAAACUGAUUGCCGAGGACAACGAGGGUGGCCUCUUCACAGUGACUCUGUUUCGAAAAGUGAUUGAUGAUUUCAAAGUCAAAGCCAAAGAGAACAAGUUCACUGUUCGUGAAUUUUUCUAUGAUGAGAAAGAAAUUAAAAGGGAAAGGGAAGAGAUGACCAGGUUGCUGUCUGAUAAGAAGCAACAGUAUCAAACUUCCUGUGUUGCCCUUAAAAAGGGAUCAUCUACCUUCCGGGACCACAAGGUUAAGGUAACCCCGCUAGGGAACCCUGAUAGGCCUGCUGCGGGGCAGACCGACAGAGAGAGAGAGAGUGAGGGCGAGGGCGAGGUAAGCAGCCCCCGGGAGUCCUGGGGGUCCCUGCGCGCAUCUCCCUGCCAGCUCAGGUGUCUUCUGAGAAACCGCGUCCUUGCAUUUCUGUUGUCUCAUCCGGCUUGUGAGUUCUUAAAUUCAUUCGAGGAGCCCGGAAUCACGCCUUCCUCUGAUCUGCAGGCCCCUCUGGAGCUGCCCCUCCCGGCAGGGAAUGGUGCUUGUGGGCCAGCGUGCUUGUGCCCUGGCCAGAUGGGGCUUGAGAAACCUCUGGAGUGGCAGUUGGUGGAUGGUACCAGGACCCCAAGGGCGGGGCCUUCCCAGAAGGUGGGCUCCUUGGCUGGUCAAUGUCAGAAGCUGCCCGCCGACAGCCUUGAGGGCCCCCUGCUGCGCUGGCUCAAGGUGAACUUCAGCGAGGCUUUUGUUGCCUGGAUUCACAUAAAGGCCCUCAGAGUGUUUGUGGAGUCCGUGCUCAGGGUCUGCCGUUUGCUGCUGGAGGUGCUUCCUGGACAGCUGGCUCAUCCUCUCUCCCUCACGCCUCCUCUGGCAUCCCUGGUUCAGCCAAGGGCCUCACCAUCCGUUCCAUCCCACACCCCGAGUCUGGCUGCCAGCCUGGACACCUCCCAUCCUUACACCCUACAACCUUCAGCCCUGCACCCCGUGAUACACCGGCCUCCUCUGUCCUCACUCUCCUGUCCUCUCCCUGCUGCCGUCAGCCUCUGUGGGUCUCGGCUUCAGUUCCUCUUCUACAUAAGUGUCCAUAUAUGUUUUUGCCCCAUACAGACCCAACUCUGGUUCCUUGUUCUUCCUCCCGACACCCACACAUGUACACACCUCCGCAUGAUACUCGUGCCCUCCUCAGAGGCCUGCUGCGACAGAUCAUCGCAUUGAGUUACAGGGUGCACCAGCUAACCUGGUCUAGCUGUGUGUAGGAGAGAGCCCAGACCAACCCUCCUGGUGCUGGAGAUGUGUUCUCAGGCCCCAUGCAGUGUGGCCUGUCUAGGCCACAUGGGUUUCCCAUCUGCUCAAGAGACAGUGGGAAGUCUGGCUCCUCUCUCCAUCUGUUAUCCAGCCUAGGGUCGAUGGAAAUGUUUCUUGGUUGAAUAAAAUCCAGGUAAAGGGGACACAGCCCUCAGUUGAGGAGGUGCUGGCUUGCCCUCAUGGAUGAAGGACACCAGAUGCUUCAGUGACCCAAGACGCAGAUGGAACAGGUACGGGCUGCCAGUGAACUUCCAGGCAGUGCUCCUGCAGCCUCACAAGAAGUCAGCCACCAAACGCUUGAGGGAGGUGCUGAACUCUGUCUUCCGGCACCUGGAUGAAGUGGCGGCAG